UGAUAUGCACCACCGAUGUGAGGCUCUGCGUUCGAUGGUUAGACCUCAUGCAGAGGCUCGAGAGGAGCAUCGCGGGCUGCAGGCCUUUGGGUCCUGCCUCUUGCAUGCUCGUACGCACUUUACGCUUAGUCGUCUUGUGAUAUCGACCUGAAAACACUUUCAGCGAUGGAUACCUUGGCUCGAACAACAAUGAAGGGUGCAGCGAAGUGCGAGAAGCAUUGUGAAUUGCAGAAUUCCGUGAGCCAAUUGAAAACUGAAUGUAUAUUGCGCUUUCGGGAAAUGCCUGAGAGCAUGCCUACUUCAGCGUCCAUUUGYCAAUCGGCGAGAGUGCCCUGCAUCGCAGAAUACUCGCUUGAUGAGUGUUUAAGAAGUGUUCUUCUUCGACGCUUGCAGAGCUAAGAGUUAGCAUUGUGUGGCUUCGCUUGGCUGUUCAUGUUGCUGUGCUGUGAGGUUGUGCUUUGCUUGCUUGCGAUCAUUGGAGAAAAUGCCAUGAAGUUAGGUUAGGGAACCCGCCGAAUUUAA
rnacentral:rRNA from 1 species